AUGGGAAAAAAUUUGUUGAGAUUACCAUCAAAUUGGAGUGUUUGGGUGUGUACCAUCAAAUGAUGAUACCGUAUUUGGGAGUGUAUCAUCAAAUAGGUGUGAUGUAGUGGGUUGUAGAUGGGAGUGUGUGGGAGUGUACAACCGAAUUUUAGGGUUGAAUUAUAUACUGUUAUGUUUUAGCGGAGGUGAAUUGUAUAUUGUCACGUGAAUCAUAAAGGUUAUGACAUCAAAAGUCAGAUGGCUUCCUUCGCCAUAGAUGGCGAACUGUGUAGACCAGUUACGGUUAAAGAAUACAGUAGGCGAACAUGGUCGAAAUUACUAAGUGUAAUGUAGACCUGAUUCAAACAGAAGACGACUAACUGUGGAGAAACUACUAUUCAAAAUGUUCGUAUUAUUUUUGUAUCCGUAAAUCAAUUUUAGUCUGUAUAAUUUAUUGGUAAAAUUUUAUAUUUUCUUAUAUCAGUUUUGUAAAAUGUUUGCAUUAUUUUUAGAUCUGUAAAAAUAUUUUAGUUUGUAUUAUUUGUUGGUCGAAUUUUAUAUUUUCGUAUAUCAAGUUUCUAAAAUGUUCGUAUUAUUUUUGUAUAUGUAAAUAAAAUUUAGUCGGUA
rnacentral:lncRNA from 1 species